rnacentral:lncRNA from 1 species
AGGAGCAAAGUUACUCUCCUUAUUUAUGUACUCACUCUCCUUAGUGGUUGGGAGGCUGAUCUUGUUUUAGUUUAGGGGUAUAUGGAUAGGACAUAUAUGCCCAGAUGGAGUUGGCCACUUCAAGAAUGACAGCACUAAUAGACCUAGCCCGUGCUUACACUAGGCUCUGAAGGGAUCUAGAGGAAAAGAAUAAGAAACUCCAUUCCCAGGUACGCAUACUCAUGAGGAGGUGUGAAGGUCAUGCACUCAUAAACUUCCCCUAAUAAAGAUCUCAAACCUAUCCCAGAAGGUUGUCGAGGAGUUCUACUUUCUCACUAGGAUGGAGGAGAAGGGUUCAGAUGCCUCGAGCCUCAAAGAUAGUGUCACCAUCUAGAUGGACCCUUUUUAUUAAUUUUAUUAGUUCAAGGAUUGGGAUGCCCCCGUUUGAGGCAUGUAACAAAAAGUUACAAUUUUUUAUAUUUCUUUUUCUUUCUUUUUUAAGAUAGUUAUUG